UCCAUCCAAACCGAGUUCACCUCCCUAAUCUCAUCAAUGUCCAAAGAUUUUUUUGGUUCGACAUGGAGGUUACGGAAGUGCCUUUAGAAGGCGUCCCAAUAUUCAUCAUAGAUAAUGCGUAGGAAAUAGUGAGAGUCGGCUAUGGUCGGGUUGUUUUGUGUUGGGUAUACAUUGGAAGAUGCUCCUUUAUUGGGGAGGGAAUUCCUACAAAAGAAAGGGCACAUUUCAAACCAAAUGAAAUAUUCAAUUAAUCACCCCACACCUAUCCUAUGUAAGAGACCAUUAUUUUUUAGGCGAAGUAACGGGCAUGGGAUAAGUAGUAAGAUCACAAAUUCUAUCACAAAGCAAUAGACAGUCAAAGUGAAUGAAGGAAAUAGUGAAACAAUCCAACCUCCAUUUUUGCCAAACAAGAUAGGCAAAGUCUGGUUAAAUGGGUGAAAAUCACAAAAUUAGGCAAUCAAAGCAACUGAACAAGUUUAACAUCUUUAAAUCACAAGAAAAAGCAUCCUAAUCAUUUAUGAUCAAUAACUCAGCCUCUAGAAUCACAACAAAGCAUUCUUUAGGCAUAAAGGAAGAAGAUCAAAAAAUUACCUAAAAAUAUCAAACAAAAUUCAAAGUUUCCGCUACCUAAAUCAUGCAAUUUCAAAGGGAAAACUGUACCAUGAGAGUCUUAUCAUAACCAAUUUCAAUUUAGCAUCAUCAAUUUUGAAAUGCCUUGUGGUGAACAUUUUCGUCCGGCGGCCGGUGGCUUGUGGGUUUGGAGUCGCCACCAAUCGCUUAAAAGUGGAUUGGACACUUGGAGCCCGGUUCAGAUUUGGGAGUCUAAACUGGGCAUGACCUACGUUCAGAGAUCUAGGAAGGAUUAGCACCCCUACAACGCCUCACAAAUCGGUACUACGAAAAUCGAUAAGUUUGAUGUGUUUUAUUAAAUGCGCUUAAUUUUUGAUUGUGUGAUUUGUCUUUCCUCCCUCUUGCGAAGACUAAAGCUAUUAGUUUCAUUUUUAAAUUUGGGAAUGAAAUGAUAAAUUAUUUAAAGUUGGAAAGAAAUUGAUAAAUUAUUUUAAAGUUCAUGAUAAAAUAAUAAAUUGUUUGUAAGUUGGAAAUAAGAUAAUAAACUGUUUUAAAGUUGGAAAUAAAAUUAUAAAUUAUUUUAAAGUUUGAAAUGAAAUGAAAAAUUAUUUAAUAUUGGAAAUAAAAUGAUAAAUUUUUUUAAUGUUGGAAAUAAAAUAAGAAAUUAUUUUAAUGUUGGAAAUAAAAUGAUAAACUGUUUUAAUAUUGGACUCGAGUCUUUUGACAGCCUACAUACCCGAACUUCGGGAUCAAAGUUCACGUAGUUCCAUUUGAAAAAGUUGAUUUGAGGUGCAACUCAAUAGUUUCGGAUUGCUUGGUAUAUUUUGAAUGUUUUACGAGUUUUAUAUGUCGAGAAUUUCAUGUGACUUUAAUAGUAUAAAGUCCGACGUUACUAUUUUCAUUUUAUGCUUAUUUAAGAAAGAUUUUUGUGUUUUAUAAUUUGAUUAGUUAAAAAUGAUUUGUUUGAAGAUAAUGGAUUCACGUACUUCCCUCUUUAGAAAGCUUACUUUACUUUUUCUAGGCCAAUUAUUUUCAUAAUAUUGAUUUUUUAUAGGUGGACUCGAGCCUCCUACGUACUUGGGAUCAAAGUCCGCGUAGUUCAGGGGGGAAUUGAUUUGAGAAUUUUGCAUAGUUUUUACUAUUGUAAAAACUACGUUACUGUGCUCGUUUUUUAGUUUAGGAAAAAGAGUCGAAUGUUUCAUGCUGAGAUUUUUGUAAAAACUAUUUUUGAGGUUUGGUAUUCCGAAUUCAUCAAUACCAAUUCAAGGAUAUAGUUAUAGAGGAAAAGACGUGGAAAAAAGAUAUUUCGAUGAAUUUAAUUUGAUUUGCAAUCGGAAUCUUCGUUAUUUUAUAAAGCUGAAGGAAAUAAUAAAGGUUAGUAAUGUCGAUUUAAUUGAUUUUUUUAAUUAAACUGAUUUACCAAAAUUGGAAAUAUGCUAUAGGACGAGAAACAAACCUAUAUUCGGAUACGUUUGACGCAAACAGUUUUAGUGAUUCAAUGAUUUUAUUUUCGUUAAAUUAACGUUAUCGAUAAUAAAUAUUACCUCAAUUUAAGUACUAUUUCAAUUUCUAAAUACCCAAUAAAAUUAGAGAAUUCAAAAUUUUAAUUUUUUAUUAUCCUACAUCUAUUUUGGUCUUACUCUUAAGUUAAUAAGAAUUAUAUAAGGCCUUAUUGAAUUAAGCAUCAACAGAGCUAGCCUGCUGGUUGCAAAUGGGCUCCAGCUUGAACCGGGUCCCACCAACAAAAUCGGGCCAAACGAACAGAAGGAGAAGGGCCCAAUCCGUCCGCUGAAGCCGACCGGUCCGACCUGUCAUGGUCCAACCCGGGACUAAAGCAAAAGACGAAAAUGCCCCUGACCGGUCCGCAGUUUGAAGGAGACCAGCGGAAAACUCAUAACUUUUUGACGCCUAAUUACUGUGGGGGGGGCGUAAAAUGACGAAAAGGCCAGAUGACUAAUCUAGCUGCUCAACGAAAAAUAAUGGUAAAUUAGUAACUUCACUCCUGACCCUAAUCGGCCCUCUUAAUUUCCAGAAGCAUCCCAUUAAUCUUCCGACCGCGGCGGUAGCGACGCCGCCGCCGCUCCUCUCUCCCCUCUCUCUUUUUUUUCUUCUUCUCCUCUUCUCUCCCUUUCCCCUCUUUUUUUCUUUCUUCUUCCUCUCCUUCUCCAAUGGCGACAACAUUGCCGCCGCCUCUCUGCCCUUUCCUCUAUGUUUCUUUUCUCGAUGCCGCCUCUCCUCUCUUUUCGCUCUUUUUUCUUUCUUCUUUCUCUCCUUCUCGGGCGGUGGCGGCUGCCGCAGUCUCUCCUCCCUUUUCCCUCUUUUUUAUUUCUUUUUUCACUCUUUCUCCGACGGCGGCGGCGGCGCAGCCGCCUCUCCCCCCUUUCCUCUCUUUUUCUUUUCUCUCUUCUUCCUCUCCUUCUCGGCGGCGGUGGCGUUGCCGCCGUCUCUCCUCCCUUUUCUCUCUUUUUCUUUUCUCUUUUUUUUCUUUUUGUUCUUCCUCAUCUCCAGAAAACAAAUAAGAAGCAUAUAAAAUGGGAAUACCUAUCUUCUCUGCUUCUGGAAAUCGUGAUGGUCAUCUUCGAUGUUGACUCAAUCGUGAGGUCUAAAUCUGAUGUCGCUAUUGCCAAUCGGCCCUAGAAUCAUGGCCGCCUCCAAUUCAUCUUCUCGUCACUGCUGAAUCACUGGAUUCUACAAAGAACAAAGGUAAAACAUACUCUUCCUAACAUCUAUGAUUCUUCUGUUCUAGCUCAACUUUUGGAUCGGAGAUUUGACCAUGGUUUAUUUUUCUCUUUUGAUUUGGAUCUCGAUUUGGGGUGAAGUGCUGUGGGAAAAUCAGCCAGAACUGAUGCUCUCUGUCGUCAUUCGCCUCCACGAGUUGUCAUAGUCCGGCUGGGCCCCUAAGAAUUAAAG
rnacentral:lncRNA from 1 species